rnacentral:rRNA from 1 species
GACGAACGCUGGCGGCGUGCCUAAUACAUGCAAGUCGAACGCAGUGGGGACGGGUGAGUAACACGUGGGUAACCUCCCAUCAGAGGGGAUAACACUUGGAAACAGGUGCUAAACCGAUACUGAUGGAUGGACCCGCGGUGCAUUAGCUAGUUGGUGAGGUAACGGCUCACCAAGGCCACGAUGCAUAGCCGACCGGCUAGCGUGUCCGGCCACAGUGUGACUCAUACUGGGCACAGACGCCUACGGUAGGCAGCAGUACGGAAUCUUCGGCAAGUUACGAAAGUCUGACCGAGUAACGCCGAGUGAGUGAAGAAGGUUUUCGGCUCCUAAAACUCUGUUUUUAGAGAAGCGGUAUCUAACCAGAAAGCCACGGCUAACUACGUGCCAGCAGCCGCGGUAAUUC